AAUUAUACUGCAUCAGAACUGUCAAUUGGGCGAGUUGGUGUGCUUCCAUUUUGAACGAAUAUCAGCGCGACAAAAAGCGAGGACGAGAAUAGAAAAGACAGACUACAGCGCUGACUCGCAACUAAAUUUUAUUCCGAAAAGAACCAGAAUAAAUAACAUCAGUAAAACCUAAGGAAAGAAACGACCAUCGUGCAUGCUCAACAACGAAAGGCUAUGUGGCUGAUGAGACGUGGACGUGACGCAAGCUAUCCGUGAGGUGUCACGUGGGCAAAAAACUCGGCUGACCGCAACCGGCUGGACGUGCUACAGCAUCUCUUUGGCGGUAUCAUGUAUAAUGGCUUCGCACUCCGCGAUCUUUAUUUCACCGUACGACCGGAAGGAGCACCUCCGAAUAGUACGCUUUACCGCUUCAACCUGACAUAUGGAAAGUUUGAAAAUAUUGCUCAAAAGCUGACGCCUAAACCCGAGAUGUGCCGUGUUGAUUGCUCAGCCAAUCACGUGAGUUCAAGAUGCCACUUUGAUCUCAAGGACGCCUCUGCUACGUACCUAGCCAAGAUGUCCCACGGAGCAAACGUAGUGCAACAGUUCAAUCUCUAUGUAUGGCUAACUGAGUUCCCGUUCGGCGACCACCUAAACCCUGCUUCACUGACAAUGACAAUUCUUCAGACUUCUGGAAACUUAUACGGAAGGCACAAUAUACGAGAAUGCUUGAUUACGAAUUUUCUGGUGGAUGGGGUCUCUUUUCCUCCGUUCAGGGAAUUCCGAAUAUUUCGCAACAAUAUCUCAUUGGCAGAUAAAGUGUGGGAACGAGGUUGAAGUGAAAUUGUUCACGGAAGUUAGGCUUAGUGUCACGAGAACCAUAAAAGAAACAUGUUUAUACAAACUACAACAAAAGAAUGUUAACUUGUCGUUUGUUUGCAGUUAGCUUACAUAACACCGUUCAGCUUAAAAAAUAUUUCCUACAAGCUCACUGAGUUUGAACUACUUCACGGCUUUAUUCUAUAAAAUCGGGCUCACCGAUAAGCCAACUUGGCGUGUCGAACGUAUCGCAACUAUAAUACUAAAUCUAUGAUGUCUUAUAUUUCUUAUUUUUGCACAUGUCCUUCUAGUUAAUCAACGGAUGAUUACAAUUGAUAAAUCUACAGUCGCCAAUGUUUAACAUAGAUCGGCACGUUGUAAAUCUGCGGCUAGUAACAUAAUUCCAUUUGCUAUACUCCUUCACCGACAGGAAGUCACUGCUAGCCCCAGCUGAAAUUUUU